rnacentral:rRNA from 1 species
GACAGAGGGUGCAAGCGUUUGUUCGGAAUCAUUGGGCGUAAAGGGCGCGUAGGCGGUCAGGUAAGUCAACUGUGAAAGCCCAGGGCUCAACCUUGGAAGUGCAGCUGAAACUACCUGACUAGAGUCUCGGAGAGGGUGGUGGAAUUCCCAGUGAGAGGUGAAAUUCGUAGAUAGUUGGGAGGAACACCGGUGGCGAAGGCGACCGCCUGGACGAUGACUGACGCUGAGGCGCGAGAGCGUGGGAGCAAACAGG